rnacentral:lncRNA from 1 species
UAGAAGAGAGAGCUUGGGAUUUGGACACCGAUAAACAUGCCCCGUGCCAGUGAGCAGGCCAUGCUCCUCCAAAUGAAAACAAAAUGUACAGUGUGUCAUUUCAACACACACUGGAUGUGUGGCCUGGAGCAGAUGCUUCGGAUAAAAUGUGAAGACUUGGGCCUUAACUUGGCAGAUUGCCCAGUUCUACAGACAAUAAAAUCACAACA